UUGACUUUAAUGGAAACCUAAUGACUCCGCCGCCGUUUCGGAGCCGUUCCGCAGCCGUUAUGCAUCUGGUGGAAAUCCACGGAAAAAAGUUCCCCUCAAGGCUAGCUUUUCAGCAGCAAAUCCUUGCUGAAGACGAAUAAAGAACCAUUUUCCUCUUGA